AUCAACUUUCGAUGGUAGGAUAGAGGCCUACCAUGGUGGUAACGGGUAACGGGGUGUUAGGGCACGACACCGGAGAGGGAGCCUGAGAAACGGCUACCACAUCCAAGGAUGGCAGCAGGCGCGCAAAUUACCCAAUCCCGACACGGGGAGGUAGUGACAAUAAAUAACAAUACGGGGUCCUUUCGGGUUUCGUAAUUGGAAUGAGUACAAUUUAAAUCUCUUAACGAGGAACAAUUGGAGGGCAAGUCUGGUGCCAGCAGCCGCGGUAAUUCCAGCUCCAAUAGCGUAUAUUAAAGUUGUUGCAGUUAAAAAGCUCGUAGUUGAAUUUCGGGAUCAGUACGUUGGUCGUGCCCUCGGUACGUACUGGCGUUACUGGUUCCUACCUUCUGAGGAACCGUUAUGUCAUUAAUUUGGUGUGAUGGGAAAUCAGGACUGUUACUUUGAAAAAAUUAGAGUGUUUAAAGCAGGCUCGCGCUUGAAUACAUUAGCAUGGAGUAAUGAAAUAGGACGUUCGAUCCUAUUUUGUUGGUUUCUAGGAUUGACGUAAUGAUUAAUAGGGAUAGUUGGGGGCAUUAGUAUUCAAUUGUCAGAGGUGAAAUUCUUGGAUUUAUUGAAGACUAACUACUGCGAAAGCAUUUGCCAAGGAUGUUUUCAUUAAUCAAGAACGAAAGUUAGGGGAUCGAAGACGAUCAGAUACCGUCGUAGUCUUAACCAUAAACUAUGCCGACUAGGGAUCGGAUGAUGUUAAUUUUUUAAUGACUCAUUCGGCGCCUUACGGGAAACCAAAGUGUUUGGGUUC
rnacentral:rRNA from 1 species